rnacentral:rRNA from 1 species
GUCGAGCGGUAACAGGGGAAGCUUGCUUCUCGCUGACGAGCGGCGGACGGGUGAGUAAUGUAUGGGGAUCUGCCCGAUAGAGGGGGAUAACUACUGGAAACGGUAGCUAAUACCGCAUAAUCUCUAAGGAGCAAAGCAGGGGAACUUCGGUCCUUGCGCUAUCGGAUGAACCCAUAUGGGAUUAGCUAGUAGGUGAGGUAAUGGCUCACCUAGGCGACGAUCCCUAGCUGGUCUGAGAGGAUGAUCAGCCACACUGGGACUGAGCCACGUCCCAAAUUCAUACGGGAGGCAGCAGUGGGGAAUAUUGCACAAUGGGCGCAAGCCUGAUGCAGCCAUGCCGCGUGUAUGAAGAAGGCCCUAGGGUUGUAAAGUACUUUCAGUCGGGAGGAAGGCGUUGAUGCUAAUAUCAUCAACGAUUGACGUUACCGACAGAAGAAGCACCGGCUAACUCCGUGCCAGCAGCCGCGGUAAUACGGAGGGUGCAAGCGUUAAUCGGAAUUACUGGGCGUAAAGCGCACGCAGGCGGUUGAUUAAGUUAGAUGUGAAAUCCCCGGGCUUAACCUGGGAAUGGCAUCUAAAACUGGUCAGCUAGAGUCUUGU